AAGCUCGUAGUUGAAUUUCGGGAUUAGUACGUCGGUCGUGCCUUAGGUACGUACUGGUGUUACUGGUUCCUACCUUCUGACGAACCAUCAUGUCAUUAAUUUGGUNUGGUGGGGAAUCAGGACAGUUACUUUGAAAAAAUUAGAGUGUUUAAAGCAGGCUCGCGCUUGAAUACAUUAGCAUGGAAUAAUGAAAUAGGACGUUGAUCCUAUUUUGUUGGUUUCUAGGAUUGACGUAAUGAUUAAUAGGGAUAGUUGGG
rnacentral:rRNA from 1 species